rnacentral:tRNA from 1 species
GCUUGGGUUGCUUAAUUGGUUAAGCAUCUGACUUCAGUUCAGGUCAUGAUCUCGUGGUUCGUGAGUUCAAGCCCCAUGUCGGGCU